rnacentral:rRNA from 1 species
CAGCAGCCGCGGGAAUACAGAGGGUGCAAGCGUUAAUCGGAAUUACUGGGCGUAAAGCGCGCGUAGGUGGUUUGUUAAGUUGGAUGUGAAAUCCCCGGGCUCAACCUGGGAACUGCAUCCAAAACUGGCAGGCUAGAGUAGGGCAGAGGGUGGUGGAAUUUCCUGUGUAGCGGUGAAAUGCGUAGAUAUAGGAAGGAACACCAGUGGCGAAGGCGACCACCUGGGCUCAUACUGACACUGAGGUGCGAAAGCGUGGGGAGCAAACAGGAUUAGAUACCCCUGUAGUCCCUGUCUCUUAUAC